AGCGAACGCUGGCGGCGUACUUAACACAUGCAAGUCGAGCGAGGGUCAUGGUGUGAGCAAUCAUGUCGUGACUCUAGCGGCGGACGGGUGAGUAACACGUGGGUAACCUGCCCUCGAGUCCGGGGACACCCCCUCGAAAGGGGGGCUAAUACUGGAUACGUUCCUCGGGUCGCAAGAUCUGGGGGAGGAAAGGUAGCUCGCAAGGGCUGCCGCUCGUGGAGGGGCUCGCGGCCUACAGCUAGUUGGUGGGGUAACGGCCUACCAAGGCGAUGACGGGUAGCUGGUCUGAGAGGACGACCAGCCACACGGGGGACUGGAGACACGGCCCCGACUCCUACGGGAGGCAGCAGUGGGGAAUCUUCCGCAAUGGGCGAAAGCCUGACGGAGUGACGCCGCGUGGGGGAUGAAGGCC
rnacentral:rRNA from 1 species